rnacentral:lncRNA from 1 species
CGGGCCUUCCCGAGGCCCUCGGUCUGCAGAGCCCCGCCGGGAGGCCGGCGCCCCAGGACAGCGAGGAGGGCCCGGGGGUAGGGGGACUCCGACCUCCUCGGUCUUGGGGUUCGUUGUUUCUCACAGACAGCGAAGUCACCGAGGCCAGAGACCGACAAAGCGAAGUAGAAGAGGAGAAGCCGAAUUUAAUCUGUCCCAAAGGAGGAAGCGUGAUCAGCUGAGCACCGCUCUAUUCCCGGGGCCACACUGCAAACUCACACUGCGUGGCCCUCUCUGCCCCCAGGUGGGGGUCGGUCUCCUUCAUGGCUCCACUUUGCAGAUGAGGACGCUGAGUUAA